rnacentral:rRNA from 1 species
GAUGAACGCUGGCGGCGUGCCUAAUACAUGCAAGUCGAGCGAACAGAUGAGGAGCUUGCUCCUCUGACGUUAGCGGCGGACGGGUGAGUAACGCGUGGAUAACCUACCUAUAAGACUGGGAUAACUUCGGGAAACCGGAGCUAAUACCGGAUAAUAUAUUGAACCGCAUGGUUCAAUAGUGAAAGACGGUUUUGCUGUCACUUAUAGAUGGAUCCGCGCCGCAUUAGCUAGUUGGUAAGGUAACGGCUUACCAAGGCAACGAUGCGUAGCCGACCUGAGAGGGUGAUCGGCCACACUGGAACUGAGACACGGUCCAGACUCCUACGGGAGGCAGCAGUAGGGAAUCUUCCGCAAUGGGCGAAAGCUUGACGGAGCAACGCCGCGUGAGUGAUGAAGGUCUUCGGAUCGUAAAACUCUGUUAUUAGGGAAGAACAAAUGUGUAAGUAACUAUGCACGUCUUGACGGUACCUAAUCAGAAAGCCACGGCUAACUACGUG